GGAAGAAGCACGGUGUGUUCAAGGUAACGAGCUGUUGGGGUGAAGCGGAAGAAAGCAGCCGAUGAUCUUAAAGCUAUCAACUGUGGAAUCAAUUCUAGCAGCUUUCAAAUGCGUGUACUUAAAAAAAAGAAAGAAUUUCCAACAGACAUAUAAAAUGCCAGAAUUAAAGUUCCUUCGCCAUUUCAGCUGCCACCAUCCCCUCUCCCCAAAACCCCAGUAGACAUCAACAGAAUCCAGAAACUACAGGGUCCACUGGCAUGGCAGGGCCUGUAGGAUUCUUUUCCAAUGUGUACAGAUUGGCUGAUGCCUGGACUAUGCCAGUUCACUGUUUUAAAGAUUACUCUUGAUUGUCACAAUUAAAAACAAAGAAUAUUUAGAACCAAAUUAUAUGUGUUGCACAUUAA
rnacentral:lncRNA from 1 species